AGAAGCAAUAUGCUGGUGCCAGGGACAGCCCAGGCAGCCCUGCACAGCCACCUCUCCCCUGCCUUCUGCACAGGGCGCCUUUCAGGGACAAGAACGCAUGGAGGAGAGUAGGUGAGAAGGAGAGCAAAAGGUCGGCCAACAAGUGGGGGAGAAGGUCCCGGAGAGGGUAGCGCUUGCGGACAUGGCUCCAGGAGACCACGUGGGCCGUGGUCCCGCCGCCUCGGGAUGCGUUUCACUGUCUUUGGCCGCCUCCUCCCAGGAGCUACGCUCACCCAGGUCGUAGAGGGUCCGCAGAACGGCGUCCAGGAGUGCCUCCGAACCAGGAGGCUCAACGGAGUCCGAAUCGUGCUCCGCCGCCAUGGGAAUCAGCACGGAGACCCCCCCAGAUCCCGCCCAGUGCCCACCACUUCCGCUUCCGGCGCGGCUUCUGCGCGUGCGUCACGGUCCCUGCGCGGCCUCGGGCCUGGUUAAGAUGGCGGUGCCCGGGGUCCCGUGCAGUGGCCGUACGGAGUGCCACUGUCCUGGGCAGACGGGAGCCGCCCCGUGCGAAAGAACCGCCCCCAGCGGCUGCACUACAGCCGUGUAGCAGACCAGCCCAGGCCCCGCCAGGGACGGCAGCCGCGCCAUGGACGUUCCUAGCUCCUCCAGCUCCCGAUUCUCGGUCGGCUCGGCCAGCCCUAGCAGUGUGCUCCUCUAUGCGGUAGGCGCCUGGGAGGACCAAGGCCCAGGGCAACGUCGCGGGAAGGACAGUCCCUCCCCGAUCCCUAUGUCCCCAGCCCACGACCCUUGCUUGUCUUAAAGAGCGGGUCCUAACCCAGUUGGGUACGUGGCUUGGUAUCCACGGCAA